rnacentral:rRNA from 1 species
AACAAACGCCGACAACGGCGGAUCGACAAAGAAAUGAAGAAGCCUCGUGGCCGCUGCACCCACCGGAGAUCUCCCACCAGACUCCGAGCCUCCGAAGCACCGGUACCAAUCAACACCUCCAAGAAGGAACGCGACGAAGACGACGCUGCUGCCAAGGGUUUCCCCCGGUACGGUGAGGGGAGAGGAAGGGUAGCUCCGACGCCCUCCAGGAAGGUCUGGCGGCACCCACAAGCACCACCGCGUCGAUGUCGGCCAGGCCAACAGAGAUUUCUCCCGAUCCCAACCUCCACCUCAGGCACUCCGAAGCUCGCCGCCAAACAGACCCUCACCCUGCGCCAGCCCGGACACGAAGCGUUCAACGCUGUCUCACCACGGCACCGUGAAGCAUGGUCGGCACGAUGAAGAAGAGGAGCCGGGACCAGGCAACAGCACCAUCGGCACGCGGGAGGGCCCCACCUCCACCGCUGAAGACGGUAGCUGACCGGACGCAAUGGCAGGAACACACCAGGCCCGUGGCCGCACAGGCCCAGCCGGGAACGCAGAGGCCCGUAAAGUUCCCGCCUUCGCGCUGCAGCCGGCACGCCGUCGGCUCCGCCGCCCCUGUCCAAGCUGCUCCCCUUCCUCCCCACACCGAAAGCCGCCAAGGGAGGCACCACCAACACGCGCACCGCCGGCCACCAUCACCAGGUCGCCGGACCGCCACCGGCCGAGCCGCACCACCGCCGCACGCCCACGACGGAGAGGAACCACCACAGCCGCCGGCAGCCCGAAGCCGGACCCCAGCCGCCGCCAACGCCGCCCGCGGCCCUCGCCGCCUGCCGGGCGGA